rnacentral:rRNA from 1 species
CAAUAGCGUAUAUUAAAGUUGUUGCAGUUAAAAAGCUCGUAGUUGGAUUUCUGAUCGAGACAUCAGGUCGGGUCCGAGAGGAUCAUGUACUUUGAUUUUGUUUUGAUCAUCCUUGGGGAGGGCAUUUCUGGCAUUCAGUUGUCGGGAUUGGGAUCCUCAUCGUUUACUGUGAAAAAAUUAGAGUGUUCAAAGCAGGCCUCGGCCUCUGAAUACAUUAGCAUGGAAUAAUAAGAUAGGACUUUGGUGGUCUAUUUUGUUGGUUUGCACGCCAAAGUAAUGAUUAAUAGGGAUAGUUGGGGGUAUUCGUAUUCAAUUGUCAGAGGUGAAAUUCUUGGAUUUAUGGAAGACGAACUACUGCGAAAGCAUUUACCAAGGAUGUUUUCAUUAA